UACACCAUAACGGCAGCGCUGGAUCCUUAACCCACUGAGUGGGGCCAAGGGUUGAACCCAAAUCCUCAUGAGUAUUAGUCGGGCUCAUUACUACUGAGCCACAAUGGGAAUUCCUGGAGAUGGUGGAUAGUGUUAAAGGGAGAAUUGGUAUGUACUAGGCACACAAAAGUUGGGACGCUAUUGAAGGCAAUAGAGAAAGUACAGAUGUACAAAAUACUGGCUUAGGGUUGUGGAGUAUUAGAGGAAUUACAAGUUCCAGCAUUUAGUACGUUACUGGCACACAGGAAGUGGUAAGCACUCAACAAAUGUUGAAUGAAUGAGUGAAAAUAGCUUAGCGGGACUGUCUCUGAGGCAUAAUCCAAAGGGAACACCAGAAUCUGAAAGUCACCCAGACAUUGAGAUCAACCCUUGGAGAGCAAGCCCUCGCUCUAAGAAAUCACUGUGAGUCCUGAAGGCUGUGUUGAACUUAGGGUAAUCAUUGCAACAAUCAAGCUUAACCUGGUCCAAAUCUUGUAUUAGUGGAAACCUAUGUUAAAGGCUUAACAGAGGAAUGACUUGACCAUUUCCAGGAAUUAAAUCUAUUUACCUGUUUGUACUGUGCUAUACAAGCUGCCUUAGUUUUUGCCCUCCCCCCCAAAAAAUUUUUUUUUCACAAGAAAGCAAGAAAAAUCUUCCCCCACCAAGAGACAAAGCAGUGCAGAACUAGAUUCAGACUAUCUGACACAAUCUUAAAUAACUGACUACUUUAAAAGGUCAUAUGAAAAAAGUGCACAGCAGGCAAAUCAGACGGGUCAUUUGAUCAGAGAGAGAACUGUAAGAAUCAAAUGGAGACACUAGAAAUGAAGAACUCCGUAAACGGAAAAUACCUUCAACAGCCUCACAGAUACACCUGACACAGCCACGGAAAGACGACGUGAACCUGAAGAGAAAUGAAGACUUUCUCAGGGAAAAGAAAAACUGAGAAGAUACAUUGCCAGGAGACCCCGCAUUAAAAGAAAUACUUUAACAGAAGGGAUGUGAAAAACAACAUAUCCCUGGAUGUGUACAGAGGGACAGAUCUGGAAAUGGAAUAAAUGAAGUUUCAUUACUCUCAAAGGUGAAUAAAAAGAUAUUGCUGAACAUGGAUGGACCUAGAAAUUAUGACGCUAAGUGAAAUCAAUCAGACAGUGAGACACCAACAUCAAAUGCUAUCACUUAUAUGUGGAAUCGGAAAAAAGGACACGAUGACCUUCUUUGCAG